UGGGAAAGAAGUGACCUUAUGGUGACAUUAGAGAACUAAAAAAUGACAAAAGACGUAUAUCACCACUUCAAAAUUAAAAUGCUUUAAAAUACAAAGCACUGGUGGCAUUAGAAGCACAAUUAAAAUUCUGGCAGAUUUAGAAAACUUCAAGUUUACACCAUAAAUGGGCAUCAAUACAGAGCCCGUUGGUAACUGACUGCCAACGUGCACAGCAGAUGGAGGCUGGCAGAGGAACCUGGCCCCAUUUCCAUUCUUUGCUAGUUAGGAGUGGCAAUCCUAGAGAAGUGACCCCAACUACCCACGAACCCCUGCAUGUGAGUACUGACUAUGAGCUAACCUGCUGUAUCAGGAAGCACACAGCCCUGGACCUGCCUUCUAGUUCUAUUUCUUUGUUCAAUAAAAGUAAGCACUAAAGAUACUUUACAUGGAACCGCAGGGUGCUGUGCGCUGAAGAUGUGUCUCCACGGCAUUUCAAGCCUGGAAAGGAGCUCACACUUCAGCACGGAUACUAGGCAGGUAGUGGGCCAAGUGAAAAUCUAACAAAGCCCUAAGAGCUAUGCUCCUGACUACCCACAGCCAGAGGCUUCCUUGGCCACCCUGAUUCUUUCAGCUCUGGGGAGGGAAUCACAUUGGGUUCCACCCAAGCCUUAGGCUCCUUGAAGGCCUUCCUGGGACCUCAUCUGGGCGAGCACACGCAUUCCCUCAAUGGCCCUUGCCAGAUCCAUGACAAGUCCACAGCAAAAUCAAUUUAGACUCAAGACUUUCCACUAGAGCACAGCAUCUUCGAGGUCCUCCUUAUGGUCCUUAGCUGGGUUGCUGCUGUUCAGUCUCCUCAGUCUCCAAGUGCUGGAUCGAUCAUAAGAAGCUGUGUGGACGCUGCAUACCAGCCACGGCAAGUCUUCUAUGCACAGGUCUAAGUCUUCUAUGCACAGGUCUAAGGACCUUCUGCUCCGCACUCAGGUUUCUGCAAUGUCUUGUGGGCAAAGAGGGCAGUCUUCAUGGAAAGCAAAAAUAGGGCUCCCCCAAGCCUUGCCUUUGGAGUGAGCCAGCUUUCCAGGAGCAGCCCACACACAGGCUACUGUAUUCAGUAUGCUUGUGCACAGUGCAUACGUAUGAGGAUUAGCCCUGUAACCAUUUGGUCCUUUUGCUAGCCUGUUUUCAGACUGGCAGUGAGGAACUUCCUGAGAGCUGCCUUGGUUUACUGGAGACAAGCAUACUACCCUAUUCCAAGCCUGGGACAGUAGGCUGGGAAGUAGCCAUCACAACUAGGUGAUCUAAGACUUCCAAGGAUGGGAACAAAGCAGCCAGUUCCUCAGAGGACCAUUACUGAGACUGCAGAAUAAGGCUGAACUAUUCUUUGAAUAAGGUCACAUUAGAGAGGCUGGCCUCUUAAUUUCUUGAAGGCAGCUGUGUGCUUGCUCUCAUUGACGCAGACUGUUUUCCAUUUGUCCUUGAGGAAGGUGACACUAAGCCAUGCCAGAGGGCAUCAGCACCAAAGGAAAAAAAGAGGGCUGGACAAGAGGAACAGUAAGUGCAAGGUCAAGGGGCAAGAGGCUGGGAGGGAAAAGGGACACAGGGUGCACAGGGCUGACCUGUCAUGCAAAUCCCACACUGCUGACAACGCCCAGGCAAGUGGCACUAAGGUUGUUUUGACAUGUGUCCUACAAGGGACGCAAUCCCAGACCUUGAGACUCACAGGGGCAGAAAGCUGUAGGCCCUCCUAGCUUCUCUUUCAUCUCGCAGUUCAAAUCUGCACAAGACUCCACUGAAGUCUGAUACAUGCACAAAGGCAAUUCAAGCCAUAAUCAGUAUCUAUUUCAAUGAUUCUCUUCAACAGAGACUCAGUCCAGCACCUGGGGAAGGCAUGGAGAGCCACUCAUCCGCAGUCUGCAUUCUGUGGCAAAAUUUAUCAGUGGUACUUGGUAGCUCCUCUCCUUCCAAUCUACCCAGGAUGAUAGACAGCACCUGCAUUCACUUCUCUGGUGAAGGCAGACUCCUCUCUGGCCGUCACCUUUUAUACACAUCUAAGUCCUUCUGUGGACAAAGUCCUGACCCUGGGCAUAGGAGUGAGCAAAUCUAUAAGGUCCCAACAGAGAGGCAGCGUGUCACAGAUAGACCUUCUGUUCAGCAGACACAGGCCAACAUGACUGCAUUACACUGUGACCAAGCAGGUCUGGCUACCUCUGCUAAGGUGAGGUUCCAAAGUUCCAAGCUUCUGCCUAAGAACCUCUGUAUUACAUGGACCUUCCCCUCACAGACGCCCUUCCCCUCACCACACACUGAGCCAGGACAGAGAAGUAAACCCCAGCCCUCUGCUAGAGUUGCUAUGAAGCAUAAUACACCCUGAGACCUCAAACCUCAAUCUCUUCAUUUUGAAGCAGAUGAUCUAACAAGAACCCUUGUGCAGAGCCUACAGUCUGUCAACCCACCCUGACUAGCACACUUCAUGCUCAUGACAUGCUGGUGUGGCCUGGGGGAAAAGCUAAGGACACCGGUGCUGCCUCUAAGGGCUUCCUGACCUCACUCAUAGGAAACAUGUCCAUGGAAACAGACUAGAGUGGCCAAUGCAACAACAGAGCAUACUAAAGACCUUGCCCCAUGUACUGUGCUACUCUGAAGGGAAAGUCAGGACAAUCCAAACAAACCACGAAGAGAGGCUCCUUCAGAGACAACAGGGCACACACAUUAACUUCUCUGGAGCCCUGAGGGCUGCCUUUCUAUUGAUAGCCUAUACCCAAGUUGCCAAUCCUUCUCUGAGCCAUGCUUGGUCUACAUGCACACAAGCUCAUGGGCUGUUUGGCUGGGCAUUUGACAGUGAUGAGAACCCAAAGCAACAGCCUUUUCUUCCCUAAUAGCUACUCUCAGGGUUAUUAAGAGGGAGAACAAAUGUGUUUAUCUAAGCAAUCAUUCUUUGCCACCAGCAGCCUGUCCCUGGGCACUAUACAGGCCAGGCACAGCGUUCUGCUCUCUGAGAAGCUGCUGACCUCACACUCCCUUGUCACAGCCCUGGCACUACACUUGACUCACCUACUUCUGCUGUGCAUUAGCUUUUGCAGUCAGAACCUAAGUUGGCCCUGAAGCCUGGCCCUCCCUUCUUCCACCAAUGGGACUCUCAGAGCUCCAGGAAGCUGCCUGGAGAUAGGGCAUAAGGAGUCAUCAGCACUCGACAACUCUAAGCUAUGGUGUGUUCAGGGUAAAUAAAGAGACACCCUCAAGACUGUGCCACCAGAGCUUACAGCUCAGGUACGAGAUAUAACUGAAUAGCAAUGUUAAUCUGUCCUCAGGUGAGGAAUAGGUGACAUGAGCAGUUGGGCUUCCCUAGGUAGGCAGGACAUUACAGAGCUGAAGCAGGCAGCCAGGAGUAGCCUAUUCUCAUGCCCUCUUCCCUACCAGCAUGACCGCCCACCUGCUGAAGGUACAAGAAGGGCCAUGGUGCUCAUACCAGCUCGUGGCUCUGGGGCUUGCCCUGCAGUUUCUGGUGGUAGUCAAAAGUGAGUCUGUCCAGGACUGCCUGUUCCUCCUCAUCCACAGUGGCCAUGGAGCGCUCCUUGUUGAUCUUGUCGAUGUCGAUGGGUUCUUCUCCCUCCAGGAUGGCACUCCACCAGUACUCGCCAACUUUGCUCAGAUUCACC